rnacentral:rRNA from 1 species
AUUCGAAGGGCCGCGGUAUUUUGACCGUGCGAAGGUAGCGUAAUCAUUAGUUUUUUUAUUAAAAGCUUGUAUGAAUGGUUGGACGAGAUAAUUACUGUCUCAGUAAUAAUUUAAUUGAAUUUAAUUUUUGAGUUAAAAAGCUUAAAUAUUUUUUAAAGACGAGAAGACCCUAUAAAUCUUGAUAAUUAAAUUUAAAAAAGAAUUUAUAGAAAUGAAAAUUAAUUUUUUAUUUUUUUUUAUUUUUAUAUUAUUGUAUUGGGGUGAUAUUAAAAUUUAAUUAACUUUUAUUUAUUAAAACUAUUUAUUUAUAAAAAAUUUGAUCCAAUAUUAUUGAUUAAAAGAUUAAGUUACUUUAGGGAUAACAGCGUAAUUUUUUUAAAGAGUUCUUAUCGAUAAAAAAGAUUGCGACCUCGAUGUUGGAUUAAAGAUUAAUUUUGGCGCAAAAGUUAAAAAUAUUAAGUCUGUUCGACUUUUAAAUCUUUACAUGAUCUGAGUUCAGACCGGCGUAAGCCAGGUCGGUUUCUAUCUUAAAAUAUAUAAAUAAAUUUUAGUACGAAAGGACCAAAUUUUAAAUAAAUUAUUUAUUUUUUGAAUAUUAUUAUUAUUU